CCCUUAGAGUUUGAUCCUGGCUCAGGAUGAACGCUGGCGGCGUGCCUAAUACAUGCAAGUCGAACGAAUCUCUUUUAGAGAUGAGUGGCGAACGGGUGAGUAAUACAUAGGUAACCUGCCCCUGUGCGGGGGAUAACAGGAGGAAACUCCUGCUAAUACCGCAUAGCCAUGAGCACCGCAUGGAGCUCAUGCCAAAUAUCCUUUAUGGGAUAGCGCAGGGAUGGACCUAUGGCGCAUUAGCUUGUUGGCGGGGCAACGGCCCACCAAGGCAACGAUGCGUAGCCGGCCUGAGAGGGCGGACGGCCACAUUGGGACUGAGACACGGCCCAGACUCCUACGGGAGGCAGCAGUAGGGAAUUUUCGGCAAUGGGGGAAACCCUGACCGAGCAACGCCGCGUGAGCGAAGAAGGCCUUCGGGUCGUAAAGCUCUGUUGUAAAGGAAGAACGGCGCAUACAGGAAAUGGUAUGCGAGUGACGGUACUUUACCAGAAAGCCACGGCUAACUACGUGCCAGCAGCCGCGGUAAUACGUAGGUGGCGAGCGUUAUCCGGAAUCAUUGGGCGUAAAGAGGGAGCAGGCGGCCGCAAGGGUGUGUGGUGAAAGACCGAAGCUAAACUUCGGUAAGCCAUGGAAACCGGGCGGCUAGAGUGCGGAAGAGGAUCGUGGAAUUCCAUGUGUAGCGGUGAAAUGCGUAGAUAUAUGGAGGAACACCAGUGGCGAAGGCGACGGUCUGGGCCGCAACUGACGCUCAUUCCCGAAAGCGUGGGGAGCAAAUAGGAUUAGAUACCCUAGUAGUCCACGCCGUAAACGAUGGUCACUAAGUGUCGGGGGUCAAACCCCGGUGCUGCAGUCAACGCAAUAAGUGACCCGCCUGAGUAGUACGUUCGCAAG
rnacentral:rRNA from 1 species